rnacentral:rRNA from 1 species
UGGUGGAGUGAUUUGUCUGGUUAAUUCCGUUAACGAACGAGACCUCGUCCUACUAAAUAGUUUAUGAUACUCCUUGGGUAAUGUGAGCUUCUUAGAGGGACUAUCGGUUUAUCAGCCGAUGGAAGUUCGAGGCAAUAACA